CACGUAGGGCGCAAGCGUUGUCCGGAAUUAUUGGGCGUAAAGAGCUCGUAGGCGGUCUGUUGCGUCCGCUGUGAAAACCCGGGGCUUAACCCUGGGCUGGCAGUGGAUACGGACAGACUAGAGGUAGGUAGGGGAGAAUGGAAUUCCCGGUGUAGCGGUGAAAUGCGCAGAGAUCGGGAGGAACACCGGUGGCGAAGGCGGUUCUCUGG
rnacentral:rRNA from 1 species